ACUGAGGCCACCUCUCUAAGUUCUCUUGUCCUCCGGAGCUCCAGCGGCAGCUGCCGAGGGAGGGACCGUCCCCGCUGUGAGCUGGGCGGAGCUCGGGAAGGCCCGCAGCCUUCAGCUGAACUGUCUCAAUGGGACCAGAGCUCUGGCGCGUCCCUUGGUGGAUCCGCUGGGCCUCUACCUGCUGGCUUCUCAGUCCGGCCGCCGGGUCCACCAGAUGUCGGCCAAGAGUGUAGGACUUGGCCACCAGCUUGAAAUAUUUAAGACGGACCAGAUGGCUCUCCUCGGCUGCAGAACCGCUAAGAUCCAGUAGAGGAUGCAUAAUCUCACCGCUGAACAUUCCUGACAGUGUGAUUAUGACAUAUGACUUUACCCAGCACCAGAGUGAGUUGGUGCUCCAGCCCUGGCCCAGCCCACAGAAGAGAUUGUGACAUAUCACUGGACCCAACACUGAGGUGAUGUGAUUAUUCUACUGCCUUGGCACUGCACACAGGGGACAUUGUGACAUCACUGGGUCUUGUACCCAGGUGGUGUGAAUCUU
ensembl:lncRNA novel transcript